UACGGAGGAUGCAAGCGUUAUCCGGAUUCAUUGGGUUUAAAGGGUGCGCAGGCGGGGAAAUAAGUCAGUGGUGAAAAGCUGCCGCUUAACGGUAGUCUUGCCAAUGAUACUGUUUUUCUUGAGUAUGGUUAAGGUAGGCGGAAUGUGCAGUGUAGCGGUGAAAUGCAUAGAGAUUGCACAGAAGGCCGAUUGCGGAGGCAGCUUACUGAGCCAUAACUGACGCUGAGGCACGAAAGCGUGGGGAUCGAACAGGAUUA
rnacentral:rRNA from 1 species